rnacentral:ncRNA from 1 species
CCGUGUUCAAGCGCGGGGAGUCAAACGGGCACGACCCGAAACCGGACGAUCUAGGCGUGGACAAGGUGAAGCGUGCCGAAAGGCACGUGGAGGCCUGUUAGAGUUGGUGUCCUACAAUACCCUCUCGUGAUCUACGUCUAGGGGUGAAAGGCCCAUCGAGUCCGGAAACAGCUGGUUCCAACCGAAAGAUGUCGAAGCAUCACCUCUGCCGAGGUAGUUCGUGGGGUAGAGCGACGGAUUGGGGGACCGCACUCCGAGAGGAGUGCGCCCCCCUGUCCAACUCCGAACCUACGAACGCCG